rnacentral:tRNA from 1 species
GCCUCUGUGGCGCAACGGAUAGCGCGUUCGAUUACGGAUCGAAAGGUUGAAGGUUCGAGUCCUUCCAGGGGUGC